rnacentral:rRNA from 1 species
GGCUACCUGCAGUCGACGGCAGCGGGUCCUUCGGGAUGCCGGCGAGUGGCGGACGGGUGAGGAAUACAUGGGAAUCUGCCCAGUCGUGGGGGAUAACGUAGGGAAACUUACGCUAAUACCGCAUGCGACCUUAGGGUGAAAGCGGCGGACCGCAAGGCGUCGCGCGAUUGGAUGAGCCCAUGUCGGAUUAGCUAGUUGGCGGGGUAAAGGCCCACCAAGGCGACGAUCCGUAGCUGGUCUGAGAGGAUGAUCAGCCACACUGGAACUGAGACACGGUCCAGACUCCUACGGGAGGCAGCAGUGGGGAAUAUUGGACAAUGGGCGCAAGCCUGAUCCAGCCAUGCCGCGUGAGUGAAGAAGGCCUUCGGGUUGUAAAGCUCUUUUGUCCGGAAAGAAAAGCUCUCGGUUAAUACCCGGGGGUUCUGACGGUACCGGAAGAAUAAGCACCGGCUAACUUCGUGCCAGCAGCCGCGGUAAUACGAAGGGUGCAAGCGUUACUCGGAAUUACUGGGCGUAAAGCGUGCGUAGGUGGUUCGUUAAGUCUGAUGUGAAAGCCCUGGGCUCAACCUGGGAAUGGCAUUGGAUACUGGCGGUCUAGAGUGCGGUAGAGGGCAGUGGAAUUCCCGGUGUAGCAGUGAAAUGCGUAGAGAUCGGGAGGAACAUCUGUGGCGAAGGCGACUGCCUGGACCAGCACUGACACUGAGGCACGAAAGCGUGGGGAGCAAACAGGAUUAGAUACCCUGGUAGUCCACGCCCUAAACGAUGCGAACUGGAUGUUGGGUGCAACUAGGCACUCAGUAUCGAAGCUAACGCGUUAAGUUCGCCGCCUGGGGAGUACGGUCGCAAGACUG